rnacentral:rRNA from 1 species
CCUACGGGUGGCAGCAGUGAGGAAUAUUGGUCAAUGGACGCAAGGCUGAACCAGCCAAGUCGCGUGCAGGAAGACUGCCCUAUGGGUUGUAAACCUCUUUUAUGCGGGGGUAAACGCAUACACGCGUGGCUGUCUGCAGGUACCGCACGAAUAAGGACCGGCUAACUCCGUGCCAGCAGCCGCGGUAAUACGGAAGAUUCGAGCGUUAUCCGGAUUUAUUGGGUUUAAAGGGGGCGUAGGUGGUGUGUUAAGUCAGUUGUGAAAGUUUGCGGCUCAACCGUAGAAUUGCAUUUGAUACUGGCAGUCUUGAGUACAGUUGAGGUAGGCGGAAUUCGUGGUGUAGCGGGGAAAUGCUUAGAGAUCACGAAGAACUCCGAUUGCGAAGGCAGCUUACUAAGCUACCACUGACGUUGAUGCACGAAAGUGUGGGUAGCAAACAGGAUUAGAUACCCUUGUAGUC